rnacentral:rRNA from 1 species
GGAAUUAAAUGGCCGCAGUAUUUUGACUGUGCUAAGGUAGCAUAAUCAUUAGUUUUUUAAUUGAAAGCUGGAAUGAAGGGUUGGAUGAAAAAAAGACUAUUUUUAUUUAAUUAUAUUAAAAUUUUAUUUUUAAGUUAAAAAGCUUAAAUUUUAUUAAAAGACGAGAAGACCCUAUAGAGUUUAAUAUAAAUUAGAUUUAAUAAAAUUAGGAUUUAUUUUUUUAUUUUAAAUUUAUAUUUAAUUGGGGUGAUUGAAAAAUUUAUUUAACUUUUUUUUUAUUUUAAUACUAAUAAGUAAUUUUUUGAUCCAAUAUUUUUGAUUAUAAGAUAAAAUUACCUUAGGGAUAACAGCGUAAUUUUAUUAGAGAGUUCAAAUCGAUAAUAAAGAUUGCGACCUCGAUGUUGGAUUAAAAUUUAUAAUUGGUGUAGAAGCUAAUUAAUUN